GGGCCUUUAGCUCAUUGGUAGAGUGCUUCAUUGACAUUGAAGAGGCAGUUAGUUCGAUCCUAACAAGGCCCACCA
rnacentral:tRNA from 1 species